GACUUGUGACAAGCUGUUUGGGUUAAAAAUCUCAGGCCCCGCACCCAACUAAGCCUUUCAUUUCUUGUUCCCAUCUCCCAUUCCUCCCUUUAAAAACACUCUCAAUUCCCUCUUUUCUUAUGCAUCACUUGCGAAUUCCACUCCAAAAAUUCACCACCUCUUUCUUUAACCUUUCUGCUUCUUCAAUAAUUUCUCUUCCUUUUCUUCUCAGUCACACAUGAUCAUCACAAUUCAAGGUGCAUGUUGAGCAAGAUGGAGAAGCAGGGCACGUGCAACACUAACUCAUCAACACAACACAAAAGGGGUGUGGACUUAGAAAAUUGUCACAUUCUUUUCUGCUAGAGAUUGCUGCAGCGAGUUAGUCCUUCAUGUGCCCCUCUUCCCCAUCAUGACAACAGCACCUUAUCUUGCAUUUGGAAGUGUUCAAGAUGGAAAUUUGAUUGGCUUCUGUUCACAAUUCAGCAUCAAAUUCAAUUUUUUUUUAUAUAGGGUUCAUACAGAAGUGCCAGGUUUAUCCUCCUCAAAAGAAAAAGUUCAUCUGUUGUGCGCACUUGGGAACUAUAUAUUGACAUAGUGGCAUGCUUUUUCAUGGCAUAAACAUUGAUUACACAAAUUGCCAUAUAAUUUUUACACCGAAGUUUAUGUUCAUAUAACUUCUUUUGAUCGUUUUGCAUGCCAUCGUCACGAUGUCAAAAAGGAAGCCUUCGAACAAGACAAAAAAAGAGGUAAAGGAGUUUCGAACUUUUGAAAUAUUCAUAUAGGAAGCGAAGGGGUAAAUAAAAAAUGCAGGUAUUCCAUUCUCCACUAGUUAUUGUGUUAAUUUCUGCAAUAUGACAAAUAUGCAUGGCUAGUUUUUGCAGUAGCUACCUAGGUUUAUAUAUCAAGCCUCAGUUUCUCCUUGCUUAUUGUGUUGGUGGUGCUUAAUUGUUCUCUUUGGUAUCAUCUAUGGUUCAAAUUACUCAACUUUCAAACUUGAUAUGAAAUUGUGGUUGAUAUUGUUGCUAUUGUACUCAUCAGCUGUGAAUUUUCAGAAUUUUGCAGUAUUAAAAAUCUGUCAUAAAUUCAGUCACGGAAUUAGGUGAUCUUCACUAUUAUAUCAUCAUAUAUAGUUGUUGAUUAUUGUCCUAAAGUCUUGAGACAAAUAUAAAAACUCCACCAUGGGAGAACAUAUAGGGAAGACGUUUUUGGUAAUAGAAGCCAAAUACUUACCAAAAUUACAUAAAAUAUAACUUGUGUGAUACACAUAAAAGAAGUAUUCAUAGAUGUUAACUGAGACUAAUAUCUUUGUAGAAACCUAAAAGCAUUAAAAGGUGAGCUACCUCAUCACACAACUAGGUUUCCUUCUCUCAUUAUACACAUAUAUCAGUAUGAAUGGUAGCAACUUGAUAUGAGUUUAUGUUCAGAAGAAGAGAAAAGAGAGAAAUGAGUUGAUUAUAUUGUGACAAUAAUUGAUGGUGAUGUUUAAGAAGAAAAAAAGGGAAGUGAAGUGAAAAGAAGAAUGCGUCCAAGAGACAGCACAUGAAAAUGGCAUAGUGAUGAGUCCCCAUAUGAUGCUUUCCGUACAGAUACUUAAAGGAUCUCUCUUUAAUUAAGCACACAAAAAAGGGUUUUGAGGAGUUUGGAAAUAUGUGGUGUGGUAUUUAUGAUUUGUUUGAAUGGCAGUGUUGGUUUUGUUUGCAUAUAUAGCAUCUAAACAAAGAUGGGGUCGUGGAUACAGCUGAGAUGGGAUAAGACUUGAGAGUUUUUUUUUUACCUCUUCUUGAUUCAGAUGCCAAUUAAUUAUGAUCAUCAAUGCAUCAUUAAUUAACUCAUCACUCAUCACAGUUUGGAACACAAUAUAGGACCAUUCCAUUUCCAUUAAAAACCAAAUAUUGAUUUUCCUAUCAGUGACAGUGAUGAACAAAAUUGGUUUCUUUUCCUAUCACUACCUCGCCCUACACACCAAUUGUCUAUAGCAGGAGUCCUCAUAUUUUAAGAUACGUGGGCCGUUCUCAUAAAGUGCUUUCGAAUUUGCACCGACACAACUCUAAUUUCAAAUGGGAUACUAUUACUAGUUUCUUUCUUUUUCUACAUCUUAAUUUUAUUUGUUCUACAGCUAUAAAAUUGCUUUAAUGAUUAAAGUUGAAAAACAAAGAGUGUCUGAUGACAUUUGAGACAUAUAAGGUUGAUUUGAAAAAUUUAGAAGAAUAAACGAGAAAGAAUCAAGAGAUAUAAGAUUGGUUCGAAGAAUUUAGAAGAAAAAACGAGAGAGAUUUGAGACAUAUAAAAUAUAUAAAAUUGAUUUGAAGAAUUUAGAAGAAAAGACGAAAAAAUUGUUGGUUCAAUUCUACACCAAAAUACUACCAAUUAAUAUUUGUAGAUGAAAAAAAAAAAUCUUAAUUUUCUUUCUUUUUUGUAUUUUAGACAUGAUAAAACACUUAAAGUUUAAAAGUAGUUAUAACACUGGG